rnacentral:rRNA from 1 species
GAUGAACGCUGGCGGCGUGCCUAAUACAUGCAAGUCGAGCGAACGGACUAGAAGCUUGCUUCUCUGGUGUUAGCGGCGGACGGGUGAGUAACACGUGGAUAACCUACCUAUAAGACUGGGAUAACUUCGGGAAACCGGAGCUAAUACCGGAUAAUAUUUUGAACCGCAUGGUUCAAAAGUGAAAGACGGUCUUGCUGUCACUUAUAGAUGGAUCCGCGCUGCAUUAGCUAGUUGGUAAGGUAACGGCUUACCAAGGCAACGAUGCAUAGCCGACCUGAGAGGGUGAUCGGCCACACUGGAACUGAGACACGGUCCAGACUCCUACGGGAGGCAGCAGUAGGGAAUCUUCCGCAAUGGGCGAAAGCCUGACGGAGCAACGCCGCGUGAGUGAUGAAGGUCUUCGGAUCGUAAAACUCUGUUAUUAGGGAAGAACAUAUGUGUAAGUAACUGUGCACAUCUUGACGGUACCUAAUCAGAAAGCCACGGCUAACUACGUG